rnacentral:SRP_RNA from 16 species
AAGUACGGGAGGAGGGCUGGGGCUUGGGCUGCUUCUGAGCGUACUGCCCCCAGGUGAAGACAGAGCAGGGGAGCUGGUCGCUGUAGCUG